rnacentral:lncRNA from 1 species
UUUUACAUCACAUACAUUUUUCUCCCAUUUUUUAAAAAUCAUUUUUACAUUUUUGGUUAUUUUUAUUUUAUUUUCUUUUUAAUUUCCUUUUGUAAUUUAUUUUUUAAUCAUUUUCAAGCCUUUUUGCAUCCAACUUUUGAAAUCCAUUCAUGAGUAAUAAUGAGACUUUGUGUAUUUUUCUUAGCCGUUUAUUUAUUGUCUUACUUAUGGUUUAAAA